CCUUAAAUGACUGAUAAAAAGUGUUAACCUUUUAAGUUAAAUCAUGGUGAAAACCUUUAAGGA
rnacentral:tRNA from 1 species